CUUGUAUAUUGUGAUCAUUGUUUUGGGCUUAAACAUUGUUCUUGCAAUCCUUGUAGCUGACAGGUUUUCAGAUGCUAAAAGCCAUUUGGAUAAUGUUGAGAAGGAUGAAGAGAAAAAUUGUUUUAUUUGCAGCAUACCAAGAACUGAGUUUCAAAAGAAUAAAAAAGAUUUUCAAAAGCAUGUGAAAGAGGAGCAUAGCAUAUGGGAUUACAUACGCUUCAUUAUACAUGUGAAAGAUCAUCCUCAAAAUGAGCAUAAUGCUCUGGAGAAAUAUGUUUAUGAACAAGUCAAAGAUGAAGGUAAUGAAUCUAUUGAUUUCUUUCCACUGCAUAGAGCUAAAUCUUUACCACAUUAUAAGUAUCAGGACAGUGCAACUGAGGAACAGUCCACUCAGCUUCAACAAGCGUCAGAAGAACACAGGAGGCAGGGUUUAGUUGUGAGACAUGAGGUAGCCUGUCAAACAGAGGACAUACGACACAGUGUAGUCAGUCCAAUAGAGGACAUAAGAGAAGAAUCACCUUUUGAGCUCUGAUACUAGGGGCAUGGUCCAUACACCACUUCACAGUACUGUACAUGUAAUUAGUAGUAGAUAGUGAGUUGUUAUAGCAAGAUUAGUUUGAAAUAGAUUAGUGGAACUAUCAUAAAACUAAUAAUAAUAGACUUUUAUGCUGCAUAAUUAUAGUUUUUGCUAAGUAUAAUAAUUAUAAAGGU